rnacentral:lncRNA from 1 species
AUGCUAGUGUGUCAGGAGUGUUUUGAACAUGCCACUGUUUGUGUCUCUGUGUUCUCAGGGAACCUCUUCCCACUGUAUUCAGUAUGCUGCACCUUCUGGAUGAGAGUGGUGUGCAUACCUACAGGUCUGUUCGAGGCUGCCUGUGUGCAAUACGUCUCUGACAGCACCAUGAAAAUCGUCUUCUUCAACUGCAAGCCCUCCAUGGUUAUAUGACACUGUGCAGGGCAUACACUCAGUCAUUUCAGAUGUGGCAGUGCUCUCCCCUGUAUCAGAGCUGAGGGCCUCCACCAAGCACCACGAGCCCUCCUGUCUGGGUGACUACAUCUUCCAAGUCUGUUCCCUAGAUCCACGCCCUCGGAGACCCCUUCAGCAGCAGUGUCACCCUGGUGUGUGCGUGUAUUGAUAUGUGUGAAAGGGGGAGGGUAUAAUGAGUGUGUGAGUGUGGACCUCAAGGGAUAAAUGUUUCUUGAAUGGACGCUAAUUAAUACAUUUUUAUGUAUUGUAACAUUGUGUAUAGAA